rnacentral:rRNA from 1 species
GAUGAACGCUGGCGGCGUGCCUAAUACAUGCAAGUCGAGCGAAUGGAUUAAGAGCUCGCUCUUAUGAAGUUAGCGGCGGACGGGUGAGUAACACGUGGGUAACCUGCCCAUAAGACUGGGAUAACUCCGGGAAACCGGGGCUAAUACCGGAUAACAUUUUGAACCGCAUGGUUCGAAAUGCAAAGGCGGCUUCGGCUGUCACUUAUGGAUGGACCCGCGUCGCAUUAGCUAGUUGGUGCGGUAACGGCUCACCAAGGCAACGAUGCGUAGCCGACCUGAGAGGGUGAUCGGCCACACUGGGACUGAGACACGGCCCAGACUCCUACGGGAGGCAGCAGUAGGGAAUCUUCCGCAAUGGACGAAAGUCUGACGGAGCAACGCCGCGUGAGUGAUGAAGGCUUUCGGGUCGUAAAACUCUGUUGUUAGGGAAGAACAAGUGCUAGUUGAAUAAGCUGGCACCUUGACGGUACCUAACCAGAAAGCCACGGCUAACUACGUGCCAGCAGCCGCCGUAA